rnacentral:tRNA from 11 species
GCCCUUGUAGUUCAACGGAUAGAACAAGCGUUUCCUAAACGUUAAAUAGCAGUUCGAUUCUGCUCAGGGGUACAA